AUAUCAAUAAGCGGAGGAAAAGAAACUAACAAGGAUUCCCCUAGUAACGGCGAGUGAAGUGGGAAAAGCUCAACUUUGAAAUCUGGUACUUUCAGUAUCCGAAUUGUAGUCUCAAGAAGUGUUUUCUGUGCCGGUCCAUGUAUGAGUCUGUUGGAACACAGCGUCAUAGAGGGUGACAACCCCGUUCAUGACAUGGAUCCCGGUGCUUUGUGAUACACUCUCGAAGAGUCGAGUUGUUUGGGAAUGCAGCUCAAAUUGGGUGGUAAAUUCCAUCUAAAGCUAAAUAUUGGCGAGAGACCGAUAGCAAACAAGUACCGUGAGGGAAAGAUGAAAAGCACUUUGGAAAGAGAGUUAACAGUACGUGAAAUUGUUGAAAGGGAAACGAUUGAAGUCAGACGUGCGUGAUGCGGUUCAGCUUUAGUUCGCUAGAGUGUACUCCGUAUCUUUGCAGGCCAGCAUCGGUUUUGUUAGUCGGAUAAAGGUUUGAGAAAUGUGGCAUCUUAGGAUGUGUUAUAGUCUCAGACUGAAUACGAUUGAUGGGACCGAGGAACGCAGCGCGCCGCAAGGCAAAGGUUCCGACCUUUUCGCGCUUAGGAUGCUGGU
rnacentral:rRNA from 1 species